UACGGAGGGUGCAAGCGUUAUCCGGAUUCACUGGGUUUAAAGGGUGCGUAGGCGGGCAGGUAAGUCAGUGGUGAAAUCCUAGAGCUUAACUCUAGAACUGCCAUUGAUACUAUCUGUCUUGAAUAUUGUGGAGGUAAGCGGAAUAUGUCAUGUAGCGGUGAAAUGCUUAGAUAUGACAUAGAACACCAAUUGCGAAGGCAGCUCACUACACAAUCAUUGACUCUGAGGCACGAAAGCGUGGGGAUCAAACAGG
rnacentral:rRNA from 1 species